AUGUGUGCAGAAACUUUGAGCUAAAAAUAUCUGUAAUGUUUUCAGAUACUUGGUAUUUGUUGAGAAACGUCAUUGGGAGUGUGGGUUUAGCAGCACUCUUAAUAUCUGUGGUUACAGUCAACAUCUGGACCAGAACUAAAGGGAACAAAACACGGACGAGGAGAACCACUGUCCAUAAGGAUGAAGGUGAAGCUGAUGGUACAGUUCAUUAUGAAAACCUUGGAGAACCUUCUGUCUCUGUCAGAUUCCACUGAUCAACGUCAGCAAGAUGACCCCACGCUUCAAUAUUGUUGGUUUUAUUAUUUACUGUAUGUUCAAUCAUGCAUUUUUUGAGGCCAAGCAUUUCUACUUUAAGCACAAAUUUGUAAGUUCUAAUUUGAUUCGAUGGAGAAAACAUUUGCUGAGUUUUGUCAAAUGUCUCGUCUGGUUGCAACAGUUGUAAGAAUGUUUAAUGUUUAAUUUUUAUUUUUUCAGUUAAAAUUAAUUUCUUAUGUAGAGAGCUGAAGUUCUGUCCUUUCUCGUUACACCACCAUGGGACUUUAUUUCAGAAAACAAAAGUAUUACAGUCAAAGGCAAGAGACAAGUCAUUUUUCUAUCUUGUUUGUAUUGUGCAGUUAUUAAAACACUGUUUCACAUUAUUACAUGUAACAGUGUAAAUGAAUAUGUAUUUACACAACAUUAAAGCAAGUGAAUGAAAAAAUGACACUGUGAAUUUAUAUUUUGCUUAGUUUCUGAGGUACAUUUUCGAUCAUGUAAUUUA